CCUACGGUGUGCAGCAGUGGGGAAUAUUGGGCAAUGGGCGCAAGCCUGCCCCAGCAACGCCGCGUGAAGGAAGAAGGCUUUCGGGUUGUAAACUUCUUUUGUCAGGGACGAAGCAAGUGACGGUACCUGACGAAUAAGCCACGGCUAACUACGUGCCAGCAGCCGCGGUAAUACGUAGGUGGCAAGCGUUAUCCGGAUUUAUUGGGUGUAAAGGGCGUGUAGGCGGGAAUGCAAGUCAGAUGUGAAAACUAUGGGCUCAACCCAUAGCCUGCAUUUGAAACUGUAUUUCUUGAGUGCUGGAGAGGCAAGCGGAAUGCCGGGUGUAGCGGUGAAAUGCGUAGAUAUACGGAGGAACACCAGUGGCGAAGGCGGAUUGCUGGACAGUAACUGACGCUGAGGCGCGAAAGCGUGGGGAGCAAACAGGAUUAGAUACCCUGGUAGUC
rnacentral:rRNA from 1 species